rnacentral:tRNA from 1 species
GCGCCUGUAGCUCAGGGGGAGAGCGCCUGCUUGACGCGCAGGAGGUCGCAGGUUCGAUACCUGCCGGGCGCACCA